rnacentral:rRNA from 1 species
GGAAUUAUUGGGCGUAAAGAGCUCGUAGGCGGCUUGUCACGUCGGAUGUGAAAGCCCGGGGCUUAACCCCGGGUCUGCAUUCGAUACGGGCUAGCUAGAGUGUGGUAGGGGAGAUCGGAAUUCCUGGUGUAGCGGUGAAAUGCGCAGAUAUCAGGAGGAACACCGGUGGCGAAGGCGGAUCUCUGGGCCAUUACUGACGCUGAGGAGCGAAAGCGUGGGGAGCGAACAGGAUUAGAUACCCUGGUAGUCCACGCCGUAAACGUUGGGAACUAGGUGUUGGCGACAUUCCACGUCGUCGGUGCCGCAGCUAACGCAUUAAGUUCCCCGCCUGGGGAGUACGGCCGCAAGGCUAAAACUCAAAGGAAUUGACGGGGGCCCGCACAAGCAGCGGAGCAUGUGGCUUAAUUCGACGCAACGCGAAGAACCUUACCAAGGC